AAAAAAGAAGAAAUAAAAAAUAAAAAGAUGGAGCAAAACAAAGUCGUUUGGAGUGUGGCUAGGGUUCAAGCUGUGCAACAGCUCAACCUUCUUCUCUUCUUCUCUUACAAAAACAACGGAAUUGUUUCUCUUUCUCCGAUCUUCCAUGUAGCAAUUUCCGAUGGAAAAAUGCCACCAUGA